rnacentral:rRNA from 1 species
GACGAACGCUGGCGGCGUGCUUAACACAUGCAAGUCGAACGGAAAGGCCCUGCUUUUGUGGGGUGCUCGAGUGGCGAACGGGUGAGUAACACGUGAGUAACCUGCCCUUGACUUUGGGAUAACUUCAGGAAACUGGGGCUAAUACCGGAUAGGAGCUCCUGCUGCAUGGUGGGGGUUGGAAAGUUUCGGCGGUUGGGGAUGGACUCGCGGCUUAUCAGCUUGUUGGUGGGGUAGUGGCUUACCAAGGCUUUGACGGGUAGCCGGCCUGAGAGGGUGACCGGCCACAUUGGGACUGAGAUACGGCCCAGACUCCUACGGGAGGCAGCAGUGGGGAAUAUUGCACAAUGGGCGGAAGCCUGAUGCAGCACCGCCGCGUGCGGGAUGACGGCCUUCGGGUUGUAAACCGCUUUCGCCUGUGACGAAGCGUGAGUGACGGUAAUGGGUAAAGAAGCACCGGCUACCUACG